rnacentral:misc_RNA from 1 species
CCCGCACGUAUAGAUGGACAAGAAUAGGCUCCGGCUUAGUGUCUUAGCAGGCGAUUACUCCGCGGCGCUCGAAGCGCGUCGCGGUAUUUCGCGUAUUGUAAUUUCAACACGAGCGGGGUCAAAUCCUUUGCAGACGACUUAGCUGUGCGAAACGGUCCUGUAAGCAGUAGAGUAGCCUUGUUGUUACGAUCUGCUGAGGGUAAGCCGUCCUUCGCCUAGAUUUCCCCAAUGCGCGCCCUGCGAGACAGGGCCGCGUAGGGGUUGUGGUGCGCUUGUGUAGGGUAGGCCGGUUUGACUUGGCGUGUUCUGUUGGACGCGCGCAGGGAAACCGGUCAUGCUGCGCGGCGAGUUUCGUAUAGGGUAGCCCGGUCCGACUUGGCGUAUUCUCGCGGGGCGCGCGGUGCAGCUACCCUACAGCAGAGGUGGUGUAGGGUAGCCCGGUUUGACUUGGGCGUAUCCUCGUCGGUCCGCGGUGCGGGGCGGGCGGUAUAGGGUAGGCAAGAGGUAUAGGGUAGGUCGGUCUGACUUGGUGGGAUCGUCGUGCGCUUCGUCGGUUCGCGGGGUGCGGUACAGGGUAGGUGGUAUAGGGUAGCCCGCUUUGACUUGGUCGUAUUGCGGUCCGCUUUGUCAGUUUGCAGGACACGGUAUAGGGUAGGAGGUAUAGGGUAGCCUACCCUACAGCGCAGGAUCCGACAGCGCGGGUGGUAUAGGAUAGGUGGUAUAGGGUAGGUUGCGAAAUGAGUAUAGGGUAGGUCUCGUGGUGUAGGGUAGGCUCGGUUGAAGUCUCCGGCCGGUUAGGGGAAAUGCGUGCGAAAUGGUUUUGCUGUUUGGUGGCCGUGAGUCGAUUUUUUUGUUUUCCCAUACAAAUGAAUUUUGCGGAAAAUAAAAAGUGGCCCACGAGCCCGGUCUGGCGUGCGCCCCACCAAAAGCCCGUCGGUGGGUAUAUGAGGGAGGCUCGCCCGCCCGGCCGGGGCCCACUGAAAACUCCCGGGUAGGUAAAAGUUGGUGAGUUGUUAGUGGGCGCGGCUGGCUACUGAAUUUUUUCAGUGGAGGGAUUUUUCCCCAGUGGGUGCGUUUCAGCGGUUGGCCCACUGUAAAUUCCGCCCAGCGGGUGCGUUCCAGCGGUCGGCCCACUGCCAACUCGCGUGCGCGGUGGGCGGUAUAGGGUAGGUCGGUCAGACCCGGUAUAGGGUAGGCGUAUGGUAUAGGGUAGCCUACCCUACAGUGCAGACAUGGUAUAGGGUAGAUCGAAAUUUGGUAUAGGGUAGGCCGCUGGGUGUAGGGUAGGUCGCGGAAUCGGUAUAGGGUAGCCCGUUUGGUAUAGGGUAGGUGUCGAAAUCGGUAUAGGGUAGGUCGAAAUUGGGUGGGUUGGUGCUUUGUCGGGGUUUUGGGUAAAAGUGUAUAGGCUGUGUGGUUGAGAUCCGGAAAAGUCGAAAAUGUUGAAAACACAUCCGUUAAAAAAAUUAAAACAGCGAUUGAGCGCGCUGUAGCAGCCCCACGGCUACAGAGCCUAUUGCACUGUAAUCAGGGCGCUUCAGUGCAUAUAGUGCCCCAAAGCCCGCCUCGGUGUAGGGUAGUUGGUAUAGGGUAGGUGGUAUAGGGUAGGUUACCCUAUACCCCCGAUGGUGUAGGGUAGGUCGGUCCGCCUUGGUGCGCGCCGGAAGCCAGCUACCCUACAGCGCUCUUCGGCGCCGCACAGCGCACGCUACAGGCGUCGCCCGCCCGCGGGACCAGUCGCAUUCGACUCGCAGGCCUCGGUUGCGUCGACUGAGCUCGCGAAGAAAAAAUGCGUGCGAAAUGGUUUUGCUGUUUGGUGGCCGUGAGUCGAUUUUUUUGUUUUCCCAUACAAAUGAAUUUUGCGGAAAAUGAAAAGUGGCCCACGAGCGAUUCCUGGCGUGCGCCCCACUAAAAGUCCGUCGGUGGGUAUAUGAGAGGGGGGCAAAAAAGCCCGGCCGGAAACGGUCGGGCUUUCGAGCCUCCGCAACACUCUUAGUGGUCCCGUAAGGCGCCGCGACUUAUUUUCAGUACCUGAUCUUGCAGAUUCCCACUGCGUGGCCCUCUGAACAAGCUUGCAGGCUCCGGCUUCGCUAGCGGGGGGUUCAUAGUGGGCGUCGACCUCCACGAAAGCGACCGCCCAGGCGGUACGGCGUACUGGGGAUGCCUGGCUAUAGCGGACGUAGGCUUGCCUGCGACCGCUGCCGGUUGGGCUCUGUGGGUAACUGGCCGAUGGCUAGACCUACCAACUGAGCAUCGGGAGGCAACCUCUCGGGACUGACACCGCAAUGGUAGAUGUCCCGUGCAGCGUCCUCCUCUUGGGGCCCCUAAGCCACACGGCCCGCUACGGGUGCGGUGCGGCGGACGGAAGCCCUGGGGAAUUUAGAGGGGGAAAUCGGAAUGCCGACCACGGCGCUGCUGGCCUCGCCGACAGCGCUGUGUGCGGCGCGCCUUCACGGGCGCCGUCCAGUAACUUACCAUCUCUCCGGCGCUGAAACACGCGCC